AGCUCGGUGGUCUAGGGGGUAUGAUUCUCGCUUUGGGUGCGAGAUGUCAAGGAGUUCAAAUCCCGGCCGAGUCC
rnacentral:tRNA from 1 species